AUUGAACGCUGGCGGCAGGCCUAACACAUGCAAGUCGAGCGAGAGGCGGACGGGUGAGUAAUGUAUGGGGACUGCCCGAUAGAGGGGGAUAACUACUGGAAACGGUGGCUAAUACCGCAUACUCUCGGAUAACCCAUAUGGGAUUAGCUAGUAGGUGGGGUAAAGGCUCACCUAGGCGACGAUCUCUAGCUGGUCUGAGAGGAUGAUGUGCAACACGGGGACUGAGAACUGGCCAAGACGCCGAGGGGGGCAGAAGGGGGGAAUAGUGCACAAUGGGCACAAGCCGGAUGAAGCAAUGCCGCGUAGAGGAAGAAGGCCUUAGGGUGGUAAAGUACUUUAAGCGGGGAGGCGUUACCCGCAGAAGAAGCACCGGCUAACUCCGUGCCAGCAGCCGCGGUAAUUC
rnacentral:rRNA from 1 species